rnacentral:tRNA from 1 species
UAUAUUGUGGUGUAAUUUGCACGUUAAAUCUUGAGUUUAAAGGUCUAGGUAAUUUUAGUAGUAUAG